AGUCGAGCGGACAGAUGGGAGCUUGCUCCCUGAUGUUAGCGGCGGACGGGUGAGUAACACGUGGGUAACCUGCCUGUAAGACUGGGAUAACUCCGGGAAACCGGGGCUAAUACCGGAUGGUUGUUUGAACCGCAUGGUUCAAACAUAAAAGGUGGCUUCGGCUACCACUUACAGAUGGACCCGCGGCGCAUUAGCUAGUUGGUGAGGUAACGGCUCACCAAGGCGACGAUGCGUAGCCGACCUGAGAGGGUGAUCGGCCACACUGGGACUGAGACACGGCCCAGACUCCUACGGGAGGCAGCAGUAGGGAAUCUUCCGCAAUGGACGAAAGUCUGACGGAGCAACGCCGCGUGAGUGAUGAAGGUUUUCGGAUCGUAAAGCUCUGUUGUUAGGGAAGAACAAGUACCGUUCGAAUAGGGCGGUACCUUGACGGUACCUAACCAGAAAGCCACGGCUAACUACGUGCCAGCAGCCGCGGUAAUACGUAGGUGGCAAGCGUUGUCCGGAAUUAUUGGGCGUAAAGGGCUCGCAGGCGGUUUCUUAAGUCUGAUGUGAAAGCCCCCGGCUCAACCGGGGAGGGUCAUUGGAAACUGGGGAACUUGAGUGCAGAAGAGGAGAGUGGAAUUCCACGUGUAGCGGUGAAAUGCGUAGAGAUGUGGAGGAACACCAGUGGCGAAGGCGACUCUCUGGUCUGUAACUGACGCUGAGGAGCGAAAGCGUGGGGAGCGAACAGGAUUAGAUACCCUGGUAGUCCACGCCGUAAACGAUGAGUGCUAAGUGUUAGGGGGUUUCCGCCCCUUAGUGCUGCAGCUAACGCAUUAAGCACUCCGCCUGGGGAGUACGGUCGCAAGACUGAAACUCAAAGGAAUUGACGGGGGCCCGCACAAGCGGUGGARCAUGUGGUUUAAUUCGAAGCAACGCGAAGAACCUUACCAGGUCUUGACAUCCUCUGACAAUCCUAGAGAUAGGACGUCCCCUUCGGGGGCAGAGUGACAGGUGGUGCAUGGUUGUCGUCAGCUCGUGUCGUGAGAUGUUGGGUUAAGUCCCGCAACGAGCGCAACCCUUGAUCUUAGUUGCCAGCAUUCAGUUGGGCACUCUAAGGUGACUGCCGGUGACAAACCGGAGGAAGGUGGGGAUGACGUCAAAUCAUCAUGCCCCUUAUGACCUGGGCUACACACGUGCUACAAUGGACAGAACAAAGGGCAGCGAAACCGCGAGGUUAAGCCAAUCCCACAAAUCUGUUCUCAGUUCGGAUCGCAGUCUGCAACUCGACUGCGUGAAGCUGGAAUCGCUAGUAAUCGCGGAUCAGCAUGCCGCGGUGAAUACGUUCCCGGGCCUUGUACACACCGCCCGUCACACCACGAGAGUUUGUAACACCCGAAGUCGGUGAGGUAACCUUUUAGGAGCCAGCCGCCGAAGGUGGAACA
rnacentral:rRNA from 1 species